AUUGAACGCUGGCGGCAGGCCUAACACAUGCAAGUCGAACGAGUGGCGGACGGGUGAGUAAUGUCUGGGAAACUGCCCGAUGGAGGGGGAUAACUACUGGAAACGGUAGCUAAUACCGCAUACCAUCGGAUGUGCCCAGAUGGGAUUAGCUAGUAGGUGGGGUAACGGCUCACCUAGGCGACGAUCCCUAGCUGGUCUGAGUGGAUGACCAGCAGCACUGGAACUUAGACACGGUCCAGACUCCUACGAGAGGCAGCAGUGGGGAAUAAUGCACAAUGGGCGCAAGCCUGAUGCAGCCAGGUGGCGUGUAUGAAGAAGGCCUUCGGGUUGUAAAGUACUUUCAGCGGGGAGGCGUUACCCGCAGAAGAAGCACCGGCUAACUCCGUGCCAGCAGCCGCGGUAAUUC
rnacentral:rRNA from 1 species